rnacentral:rRNA from 1 species
GAUGAACGCUGGCGGCGUGCCUAAUACAUGCAAGUCGAACGCGCAGCGAAAGGUGCUUGCACCUUUCAAGCGAGUGGCGAACGGGUGAGUAACACGUGGAUAACCUGCCUCAAGGCUGGGGAUAACAUUUGGAAACAGAUGCUAAUACCGAAUAAAACUUAGUAUCGCAUGAUACAAAGUUAAAAGGCGCUACGGCGUCACCUAGAGAUGGAUCCGCGGUGCAUUAGUGAGUUGGUGGGGUAAAGGCUUACCAAGACGAUGAUGCAUAGCCGAGUUGAGAGACUGAUCGGCCACAUUGGGACUGAGACACGGCCCAAACUCCUACGGGAGGCUGCAGUAGGGAAUCUUCCACAAUGGGCGCAAGCCUGAUGGAGCAACGCCGCGUGUGUGAUGAAGGCUUUCGGGUCGUAAAGCACUGUUGUAUGGGAAGAAAUGCUAAAAUAGGGAAUGAUUUUAGUUUGACGGUACCAUACCAGAAAGGGACGGCUAAACACGUGCCAGCAGCCGCAGUAA